CGGAGGGCACGCCUCCGCCGAAGCAGCAGUGGGAGGACGCGAAGGAUGAUGCUUCUGAUAAAGUCUGAACACUGCAGAGUUGCAAUUUACACAAGGUCAGUUACCACACAUCAACAUUUAAUUUGUUUGCUAUAUUAGAAAUAUUUUUCACUAUAGUGAAUGCCAGAAGCAUAUGACAUAGUAUAAUAUGUUAUAUGAGGCUCAUAAAUUAAACAAGAGAGUACUGGGUUAAUGUACCUGAGUAUAUCAACGGUUUAUCACCAAUUUAGGACAUCUUUGAAAACUAUAUUCUUGGUGCUCUUCCCUGUAGGAUCCAAUUCCUCUUUCGGUUUGGCUAAAAUUCUUGUUGUUGAUCUUGACACACCCCUUGAUAAACCAACAUAAAGCUGUCCAUGUGAGAACACGGGCUCUGGAAGGUAGAUCCCAACGUUUGGGAUGGUCUGUCCCUGCGAUUUAUUUAUUGUCAUGGCAAAACUUAACCUCACUGGGAAUUGUUUUCUCUUGAACUUAAAAGGAAGAGAAAUAUCAUCCGAGGGAGACAAUGGUAGCCUUGGUAUGAACACUCUUUUUCUCACAUGUUGACCACCAACGAUCUCAGCAUCAAUUGCAUUGUCUUGCAAUGCCCUGACCAUUAGCCUUGUUCCAUUGCACAAGCCGUUGUUAGGAUCUAGAUUACGUAGAAGAAUCACAGGACAAUUGAUUUUCAGUUUUAGCUCAUGUGGAGGAAGGCCAUUUGGAGUUAUUGAGUUCAAAAAAUCAAUAGGGAAGUGAUUUUGAGGAUCAUCAACGAUUGUGUCAAAGCUGUGGUAAACCUUCUCCUCACCUGGAAACCUUUCAAUCAUCAAUGCAUUCAGCCUAUCAACAUGUUCAUUUUUGGUUGAUAGAAUGGCCCGUCCGCUCAUAUAGGCAGCCGAUGUUGCAUGCUCUUCAAGUGACGGGAACACUGAGGAAAUGAGUCUAUUGACUGCCUCAUCCGUGUCAGUAUAUCCAAUCACAAUGUCAUCAGGGAGUCGAACAUAAUCAUCUCCAAUUGUUUCUUCGGUUCCGUUUCCGAUUCGUAGCAGGUACUCAGAAAACCAAGGGUCUGACUGUGCUCUCAUGUUUUGUGUCAAUCGUAUCUUUCUUAUUUGGUCCCACAAAUAUGAUUUCUGCAAAGUAGCAUCAGUUACCUGUGCUCUUGUCCCACGUGGCACCACAGGAAGGACCUGUCUAAAGUCUCCUCCAAAUACCAUGACCUUUCCUCCAAAUGGCAAACCACAUUCCAUGAUAUCCUGUAGGGACCUAUCAAGUGUCUCGACACACUGUCGCUUGGUCAUGGCAACUUCAUCCCAAAUAAUCAACGAGGCUCUACGAAGCAACUCGGCAGUGCCACUUUGCUUUGAAAAGCUGCACAUUGUGUUCUCCCCAAUUUUAAUUGGAAUUUUAAAUCUGGAGUGUGCAGUGCGUCCUCCGGGCAAUAUUGAUGCUGCUAUACCAGAUGUGGCUGUUGCAAUGGCUAUUAAACCUUUCGAACGAACUCUAGCAAGGAGCGCCUUGUAUAGGAACGUCUUUCCUGUUCCUCCUGGACCAUCCACAAAAAAAACUUGGCUCUUUUUGUCAAAGACAUGCUGAAUGAUUUCAUCAAACCCUUGUCUCUGCUCCUUGUUCAGAGAAUUAAAAAUAUCUAGGUGUUCUUGUUCAACAUAGACAUUCUGCUCCUCCCUAACUUCUUUCAUCAUGUCAAUGGAUGUUGGACCGAUCUCACAAAUAGGUGGCAGACCAUAAUCUCUAAUAUUUUUACCCAUCGAGUGAAGCAUAUCUCUUAUGUCCCUGAGCACCAUUUGCUCCACUAUCGACGGGUUGCUGUUGUCCCGACUGUAGUCUUCACCUAGCGCCUCCUUAUGCUUCUCCCACAGUCCACGUAUGUUAGUGGCCUCGCCAAACACAAGAAUUGUAGCAAACAACCUCCGCAAGGCACACGGCAUCUGAAAAGUGGUGGCCUCAGUCAAGCAAUCAUCGAUUGAUCUAUCUGUCUCGAUAAGGCCUCUUUUCUCACACGCUUCCCUAAAAGUAGAGUAUGUUACACCAGCCACUGUUCUCAAAUCCUCAAAAGAUGUUGCACCUCUCACAUGAUUUAGUAGUACUCUUAGGAAGUAUCUCUCCCCUUCAGCAGGGUUAGCAUAGACAAUCCGCCCUAUCUGCGCUGAUGCUAUUUUUCUUCUUUGCCACAUCUUUUUCCCUGUGAUCCACCGGUAGUGUUCUGGAAAUUCCCUAUAUAAUAUUUUCCUUGCUGCCACUUCUUCACUAUUUUUACUGAAAUAUUCUGUCAGUGUUGUCCUAUUAGAACUGGUGCGCCUCACAACAUCCUCCAGGUUUUCAUCCUCAUUAUAUGUCACAGACUGCAUAUUAGGCAAAUGUAGCUGAAGUUGCAAUACUGCAGGGUAAACUCCAAACAUCGGGAAUCCAAAUAUUCUAUGCACAGCUUCUGGUGCAGAUAUGUACCUAGCAUUCCUAUACUGUUUUAUUUCAUUGAUGACACCAUCAUCUGUAUCAUUUUGAUCUGCAUUUACUGAGAUUGAUGCUUGGUCAUGGCCUUUAUAAACAUACUUAAAUAGAUACUUCACUGCUUUAAUGCUUGAGCAUGCCUCAACAUUUAUGUGACAGUUGUAUCUGAAGAGCAGACCUGGGUUGUAUGGCACCACCCACCUGUUAUCUAACUCUGCUUUCCUAAUCUUGACUCGACGUCCGUCAUCCCUUCUCCGGUAGGUUGGAUAGGAGUCAUUGCCUUGUUGGGUUGCCUCACAGAACUGUCUAGGGUAUUGAAACCGACACUCUUCAUUGACCAUGCAUGCACAUUUUUUGUUUAGCACUCCACAUGGGCCAUGUAGCAUAUGGCUGAUAACAAGAUCAUGCAAGUCUGGAUAUUUGUCCUUGUCUGGUAUCUCUGCUGAAAUAACUCGAUCAUAUGCAUCUGGGGUGGUCAACUUACUCCCUGAUUUCAUAAUCAACAAUAAAUGCUCAUGUGGCAGACCCCUUUUUUGGAACUCUGUAACAUGAACAUAUGCAGCGACUUCACCAAAAUACUUCCUCUUGAUGAGUAGAUCUUUUAGAUCCCGCAAUUUUGCCCUGUACACUCUCGCAACCAGCUCCGGCCUAUCUUGUGGGUCCUGGCCUGGUUCUAGAUUGCUUGUUAUCUCUUCCCAGUAUGGAUUGCAUGUCAUGGUGAUGAAGUAAUCAGGCUUGCCAAAUCGUUGCACAAUAGCCAUAGCAUUAAGGAAUCUUUGUUGCAUGUCUCGAUCGCAUCCUGGGAAUGAUCUUGGCAACACAAUUCUCUUUCCAACCUUAGAACCCUGCGUCUCACCAACAGAGAUAACAUCAACCAGUCCCUACAAUAAUAGAUUUUGGCACUUUAUUUUAGCUUUAUGCAAUUCGAAUGUUGCCAAGGUAAUAAAAGUAUUUAUGAACAGUAGAACAUGAUUGGUUACCUGGUAUAAUUCCGCACGUAUAAGUUUUUGAUUAUCAGGAUUAGAGUACCAAUCUAGUCUCAUAGACUCAAUUUUUAUAUACAUAUCCACAGCCCACUGCUGGAAAAGACGCCCUCCGAAUAAUAAAAUGUUGAAAAUUCCCCGUCUAAUUUGCAACUUGAAGCAGUAGUAUUCUCGUGCAGUGACAUAUCUAGAAGAUUGUUCUGCAGCUGCACCCAGCAUGUCCCCUUCUUGUACGUCAUUGUCUCCUUCUUGCACUUGAUUCUCCGCUGCAAGUUAGUUAAAACAUUAGAGAUCACGGGCGACUGGACUCCAGUAUAUAUAUCAUUGAAUCAGCUAGUACCAGUAUAUAUAUAUAUUAUUAUGAGUUAAUACCAUGAUUAUUAGUAGAUGCCGGUGUUGAAGCUGGUGGAGCGUCUGGACUUCCACUGUACGGACUCCCACUGUACGGCAUAAACUUGUUCCAUCCUGUUUCUCCUCGUGGGUUAUAUAAAGGAUAAGCUAAGGGGUCAUAACAACCAUGCCAUGCUCGGAUAUAUUGUGGACGACGAUCAGAUUUCCCAUAUACUAUCACACUUCUAUCAAAACUUCUUUGUGGAUCGUUUCCUUCCAUCCAGAUAGCAGCAACUUGGGAUGUCGUUGGGGCAUUGUACUUUCUUUGGUCAGGUGUGACAUUUGUAUUGAGUUCGAUCCGGUACUCAUCCAAAUUUGGAAAAUCCCUAUUUCUCCUAAAAGUACUCACAUAUGGGUUAUCUUGCAAUAUUGCAAGGAUAGUCCGUAUGAGGUUUACAUUAAGAUCGGGGGAUCUUUUGACCCUAUGUGAUAAGGCUCCAUCUUCUGUAUCAUAAAAGUAUAACUGUAGAUGUCGAGCACUGUCAUCACCUGCCACAAGAUGGUCAAGACGGUGGUACAACCCGCCCUGAACUCGAAAUGUGUAAACACCAGACCCUGCUGGACUUUUUACACUAUCGUCAGUGGUGACCCCUAGACUUGCAAACGCAAAAUGUGAGUUGAUAUAACGUAUAUGUUUCCUGAAAUACUUUGCAUCACUAUGCACUUGGCUUGUGAACAACCUCUUUAGCUCUGAAGGAACAUCUGGUAUAUGUAUCUGUACUUUGCCCUUUCUACAACAAAAUCCGGGUGUCUCAUAUUGAAACCUAAUCGCACCACAAUAACUGCAGUCAGGGACAUUUCUCAAUUUAUAUCGUUCUGGUAGGUUUUGGUAGAUGUAGUCAUAUGGAUCAUCAUGUGGCUGAACAUUCGCAGCCUUUCCCUCUGGAAGCACGCGAUAUGACUCAUAGCGUUGACCUUGUGCAUGUCGCUGAAUGAAUCUGUCAUCAUCGUCUAAGUUUUCAUUGUGCAAUCCAUGUCCAUCUUCCAUGUCAUCUUCAUCACCAUCCCUUCCACCAUUUAUUGGUUCAAAUAGUUCACGGUCAAAUUCUUCUUCAUCGGAGUGGACAUGUACAUGGUUCCUGUGUUGCGCGGGUAAUUGUCCUUCUGCAUAAACACAUUUAAUAUUACCACAAAAAAUAUUAAAAAAUAUAGUAUAGGAAAACAGAGUGUCCUUGAUGUGCAGACCUGUCUCAGCUGUAAUAGGUGGUUCCCUACGUGUAGGAACAUAAUUAUCAUUUUUGUGUAACCAAUCUCUAGGCUCCCCAGAGUCAUCAAUUUGCACUAUUGUCGAUAAUCCAGUUCCCAAAUUCGCACUUGCGGUUGUGGACGGUUGAACAAUUACUCCACCACUGUCUUGGUUGGCAAUGCUCGUGGUUUUCUUAUUUUGCAACUCAGCCUUUUUUCGUGCUCGAUAUUGACGUUGGUACUCAGCAGCCUUCCUUCUCUUUUCUUGUAACUCUUCGUUGGUCAACUCAACUUUCCUCUUUCGAUGUUGGUUAUUUCUUGUGUCCAUCACUGUGUUAGCAGUAUCUGCAUAUCCACUUCUGUAAGGCUAGUCAUCAUUGGGAUUAGAUAUGCCACAUGAAGUGAUGGUAAUUGAUAGUUACCGUUGUUCAAAGGUAGUCUACUUUCUAUCGUGGCUCCUGUGAGCAGUCCACCGUAGCUAUGAUUCCCAUCUGUAGUUGGCUCGGUAUUUGACUCGUUCGUAAUAAAUGGUGAAUUUUGGUCUAUCCCAAAAUGCUGAUCACCUGCAUAAAUGGAGUGUCAUCUCGUAUAAAUUGUUGUAGUAAUAAAUAGAGUGACAUCAUCUUGUAUUUGUACUAUAAUAAUUCAUGUCAUGUAUGCGAUAUUUACCAAUAGCCAUAGAUUCUAUAUUUUCCUUGUCCAAACAAAGUGCAGAGUUCUGGAUUCGACAUUCUUCCUUUGUCGAUAUUGACGCGAGUAUUCACGUUGUUUCCUUCUCAUCUCCUCCUUUCGUUCGUCGGACAUCUCGGCUCGACGAGCCCAUUGCCGCAAGUUCCGUUCUUCCCUCGUCCGUCGGGCAUCAUCUAUAGAGAGAUGGAAAAUAAAUAGACACCCACAAAUACUAUACAUGUACCCUAUUUGGCAUCAUACCUGCGACGUUAGUGAUGUCACUUAGUGCACUGGGUGUAUCUCGGACCGUCGACAUUGGGUAGGAUAGGAGGCAACACCUUUUGAUUUUUCAAAGGAUCGCAGUAGUCCACAAGAGAAUAAUCAGAAUGAACAAAUUUAGAAACAAACAAAUAAUAACGCAGGCAUAAAUUCAGAGAGAUAAACAAAAAUUAAUGCAGCCAUAAAUUCAAUAGUAGAAGUAUAAUAUAUAUAUAUAUAUAUAUUUUUUGCAGUAGUAGAAGAAGCACAGUGGAAUGCACAAGUGGACCUGGUUCUUCACGAGGCGUUCAGGUUGUCAUAUUCAUUUUACUCCUAUCACUUUGCUGGGAGGGGCAGAGACAAACAAAUAAUAAUGCAGGCAUAAUUUCAGAGAGAUAAACAAAAAUUAAUGCAGGCAUAAAUUCAGUAGUAGAAGUAUAAUAAUAUAUAUAUAUAUAUAUAUAUAUAUAUAUAUAUAUAUAUAUAUAUAUAUAUAUAUAUAUAUAUUUUGCAGUAGUAGAAGAAGCACAGUGGAAUGCACAAGUGGACCUGGUUCUUCACGAGGCGUUUAGAGACGAAGGAGAAGCUGGGCGUCAGUUGUGGUAGAUGAAGGCAGAGAUGGAUCGCGCGAAUUAGCCGACCUAGCUGCGGCAGCAGCCUGAGGCGGUCUUCCACGACUGGGUUCGGCAAGAUGCGGCAGCAGCCCGACGCGGUCCUCGGCCUUCCUCCAUGGCCAUUCCUCCACGGCCACGAUCGGACACGGUCCUCCACGGGGCGGUCUUUCCACGGCCACGAUCGGACGCGGUCCUCCACGGCUUCCACGGCCGGAAUCGGGGAGGUCUUCCACGGCCGGAAUCAAUUUGGAGUUACUGAGGCCACGAUCGGCUUCCACGGCCGGAAUCAAUUUGGAGUUACGGAGGCCACCACGGAGGUUUUCACGGGGUUUGUUUUUUUUGCGAUACGGUGUGAGGGCGUGAGGCGAGGCGAGGCUGGCGACCGUGAAGGCGUGAGGCGAGCGAGGAUGUAAGGUUGGCAUCAUACUUUUAAUCUCAGCCGUCUGUUUUGUAGGACAUGUGCUGUAAGUCGUUGAUGUUGCAGGUGGGGAUUGGCUGGAGUAGAUUUCAAUUAUAGUAGAGAUUAACUUUUUGGUUUAACCGUAGCGUUAACGGGGCACGAUACUAGUUGCUUUAGGCCUUGUUUAUUUCCGAAAAAAUUUUGGAUUUCGCUACUGUAGCACUUUUCGUUUUUAUUUGAUAAAUAUUGUUCAAUCAUAAACUAACUAGGAUCAAAAGAUUCGUCUCGCGAUU
rnacentral:lncRNA from 1 species